rnacentral:rRNA from 1 species
AUACGGAGGGUGCAAGCGUUGUUCGGAAUUAUUGGGCGUAAAGAGCAUGUAGGCGGACUAUUAAGUCUGGUGUGAAAGCCCGGGGCUCAACCCCGGAAGUGCAUUGGAUACUGGUAGUCUUGAGUAUGGGAGAGGAGAGUGGAAUUCCGAGUGUAGGAGUGAAAUCCGUAGAUAUUCGGAGGAACACCAGUGGCGAAGGCGGCUUUCUGGACCAAUACUGACGCUGAGAUGCGAAAGCGUGGGGAGCGAACAGGAUUAGAAACCCUUGUAGUCC